UAAAGAUCUUUUUAAAUUACAAUCAUAGGAGUGCAGAAAUUUUUUUAAAAUAUAAUCUGGGCUAAACCAAGAUAGCAGAAUGCUAGAGCCUAAAAUCUGUCUUUUCACUAAAAAGGGUAAAAGUUCUAAUUAUAUUGAAUCUGGCUUCCUAGGCAAGAGCACUUCCUAGAAAUAAUAAUUGUAAGAAAAUGAAGAUAACAUCUAAAUGCUUGUAUCAACAAUGCACAUAGGUGCUAGUCCAGCACUGCUGGACGCUAUGUAAGAGAUCCAGACGCAUAAAAUGUUGCUUGGGUAAAUGUAUGUAUGUGUGGCCAAGAGCAUUACUUCAAUCAUAGUGCAGGAAAUGUUACAGCCGAACGGCUCCUUACUUUAGUAAGUUUUCCAUAAAUCAUCAGUAUGCAUAUACUAGAAAUAUUUGGGAGACUAUUCACAAACUUCGAAUACUUUGAGACACUAAUCCCAGAUAAAAUAUCAUGGCAGAGACAUAUGAGUGCCAGGUAACUUGCGAAUAACCCGUUAUUACGAAUAUUAUUACCAUAAGAAGGAUUUAAUAAAAGGAGCGCAAGGAGCGAAACUUAUACGACCACUUAAAACAAAGCAACGAUAUGAUUAGAGAAGGUACUCUCAGGAUAAACAAGUUAGGAUGACCCUAAGGAGAGGAGAGGACUAGAAAGUUAGUAUCAUGGAACAUAUUCUGAGAUGGCAUAAUAUCUAGAGCGAUUACAUAUAUUUCAUCUUGUAUCAACACUGAGUAGAAACUUCAAAGCUUAAGAUUUUUGGCCAAAGAGUAAAAAGAAGACCAGUAUGAGUGAUGACUUAGAAUUCUUAAAAAAACACUUAAAGAUUACAAGCAAAAAAAGGGUAAAAAUAGUAAAAACACCAUCAAGAAACAUGAAUAAGCAAAUAACAAAUAUUUAAAAUGCUGGC